rnacentral:misc_RNA from 1 species
UACGAGUGCCUCGAGCGUUAUCCGGAAUCACUGGGCGUAAAGGGUGUGUAGGCGGUUAUGUUAGUCUUUCGUUAAAAACCGGGGCUCAACCCCGGCGCUGCGGAGGAAACGGCAUAACUAGAGAAUGCGAGAGGUCUAUGGAACUCAUGGUGUAGGGGUGAAAUCCGUUGAUAUCAUGGGGAACACCAAAGGCGAAGGCAAUAGGCUGGCGCAUUUCUGACGCUGAAACACGAAAGCGUGGGUAGCGAAUGGG